UAAAUUUUCUUAAAAACAAAUUAAUGUUUCUUUGUGCUGCAAGUAUCUGUGUGUCUUAUUUUAAAAACUUUCCUGAAAGUUUGUCUUCCCCACUACUUACUGAUCCAAAGCUUCUGCUUCUUUUCAUCAAAUUUCUUAACCUUUCUCAUCCCAUAACUAUUUGUGGCAGAUCACCUUUUCCUUCAAAACCUAAAAAAUUAAAAAACAGUAGAAAGCCUUCCAAGUUUGUAUAGAUCUCUUAGGAUGUCUAAACCUGAUUGCCUACCUUGAUUUCUUGCUACACUGAAUGACAGGGAAGUAAAUGCGUGCUUAGAUCACCCAGACCAGCAACUGGGAAUAAGAUGCUUUCUUUGCAAGCUUGUGGGUCCAGGCCCAAGGUCCUUGGCAGCCUGAGCUUGCCAAUCCAAUAUCUGGGUUUCAAGCACUCCAUGUCAUUAUCCAGAGGUGUCUGCUUCGGCACAUGAAGCUGAAAACCCUGGAAACACCAGAGAAUGCUGCUAGAGGUAAUGCUAACAAAAAGUCAAAGGCUGGUGGUGGUAGGAAGAGGAAGUAAUUUGAAUUGGCAUUUCAAUCUUGAAAUAGACUGAUGUAGCAAACUGAAUUCGGAUUAGAUUAGAAUUUUGAAAUCAGUGAAGUAUCCUUCCGUUCCAUUGUAUGUUUGUUUAUUUACUAUUUUUUCCAAUAUCACUAUCUUUACAACUAAUGAUUGCAUCGUAAUGGUAUGGCUAGAA